AUAUAUCUCCAAAUAAGCACGUUGUGGAACAAAAGCAUCCUUUGCAUGACAUUGACCUCACCUCCUUUCUGCUUAUAUGAUGCACUCACCUCCCGGACAACUAAUUGCAGAACUAUGAAAAGCGUGAGGCUAAUUUGCAUGCUGUCAUUUGACCACAUUUCACAAUAUUAGCGAGCUGAAGACUUUUUAUCACGACCUCAAGGAUGUUCAGGCCACAAUCUUAAAAGAUAUCACCCAGAAGCGCCUUGACUUUCGGGUUCAAUUCAUUCCAAACCAAGGUAAAGGUUGAAAAGCUACAUGGUAUUUUAAAACAAAAAAAAAAGCAAUGCAUAACAUUGCACUCUGGCCUUUUUCCUGAUUUCUCUUAUCUACUGCCCCCUGGUGGCCAAACCAUGCACAUCAGAAGAACCAAUACAGUAACCAUUGACAAAUCAU